UACUCUUCUAGUAUAUUAAUUACAAUUGACUUCCAAUCCAUAGAAUCUGGAUAAACCCCAGAGAAGAGUAA
rnacentral:tRNA from 1 species